AUGGAACCAUCGCAAGGCCCAGAAAGCGACCGGAUCGAAUCGCUUGCCGACGAAGCAAAUCGCCGAGGCGAAGGAAGGAAGGAGACCGACGCGACUGUUAUCCACCUGUCCACCCUCCUCGUAGCGACCAGAGACACGCACUCAUUUCUUUCUCAGGACUACACAUAUCGGAGAAACCGAGGCCCCCCUUCCAGCCGCGCGAGCAACUUCUUCCACUUCGAUCGAUCCAGAAAGAGAGUGGUUCCGAUGGGGCUGCAGUGGAUGCUCCUGACGUGCGUGGUGGGGGCGGAGGCGGCGGUGGCCGCGCUGCUCACGCUCCCGGCGCCGCGGGCCGUGCGGGCACAGAUCGUCGGGCUCACCUCGAUGCUUCUGCAGCCCAUGGCCGCCGUGCUCCCCUUCGCCGCCUUCCAGCUACUCGAUAUCUACUGGAAGAACGAGCACAGGCUGAUUUGCACGGGGGAGAUGUGCACCUCCGAGGAGCGUGUCCGCUUCGAGAAAUCCGUGAAUUUUCAAGUCCCAGAGGAAUGUCAUCCUUUGUGUUUCAGUAUUUAUCCUUUAUUGGUCCAUCUAUCGCAUUUGCAAGUUCAACAAGGACAUCAAGGCACUGGAGGAGGUUGA
rnacentral:rRNA from 1 species